CUAAGAAAUAAAAUGACAAUAUUCAUGUGAUGAAAAACUAAGGAGCUGUCUUCUUACCGUUUUCAAACCGUUUUCUGUUUUCGAUUUUCCAAAAUAGUGAAAACGCAUUCUCCUUCUCAUUUUUGAACGUUUUGGGUGUUCUUUUGGCAAAACCCGGCAUUUUUACGAGACACGGGAAACACUCUCAUUUCUGUUUCUCUUCACCACCGCAUAUCCCGCUCUCGCAUAUCCUCUCUCUCAUACCCAUUCUCACCACCUGUUCUGGUUGAAAUUGGUUUGGGUCCAUUGCUGGGUAAGGUGCAACAGAAGCAGACGAUGUUGACCCAUGUGGUCCGCCACCAUGGAUUGACGUGACAGCGUUGGAAUUUUGAAAGAGAUCAAUCUAGGUCAAUUGGGGAUCGCGAAUGGCGAUUUUUCUGGAACCGGGAUUCAAAUCUGCUGCUAAAUCUUAUACAAUGUGGGAGCGGUUUCUUCCGUCGGAUUAUCAAGAUAUUAUUUCAAAUUGCAAAAUCUGCCCCCAAAGCUUUGGCUAUAGCUUCUCUACUCCACACUGUCUACUCAAUACGCUCAUCUUCCAGCACGCUUCGAGCUCCAACGCUUGCUGAUCUGCCCAUUUCUCUUUCUUUCAACAGUUUGGGUUUGGGAAUUGUGUGGAGUAAGAGCAAGGGCACCAGAUAAGGCACCGGCUGAGAGUAGCAUUAAUCAGAUUCUUGGAAUCAAAGGAGCUAAGCAAGUUUAAUUGAAUAACAUUUUCUUAGGUAAGAGUAUGUAGUUAUAUACUUAAGUACGAAAUAGGUAAUUGAAUAACAUUUUUUUGAUAAAUGUAUGUUCUGCUUGCUUCAGUGGAGAGGUUGCCUUCGUGAAUGAUGUUCUAUUAAAUGCAAAGUAAAUCGAACUAGAUUUACCUGUUCCAAACUCGAGAAGCAUAGUAUAUUCUUUCUUAUAAUGUGUGGUCAUCUGAGGCUUUAAACAAAUCUUGAGUGUGUAAAUAAUAGUUCAGCGAUUUUCACUACUUGAACUUUGGUUUUACCAUUGCAUUGUAAUAAUAAUUUUCCUCUUGAGUUGAAAGUCGAUAGGGUUAGAUUGUAGUAAACAACCUUGUUAAUGUCUUUGUAAUCUUUGUUUUUGUACCUCUUGCAUGACCAUCAAAAAUAGGAUUGGGCACAAAUGUCAAAAUCAAUCAAUUCCAGACUAAAGUACGUGGAUAUAUACUUUCUCAAGUACAAAAUAAGAACUUGCAUAAUAUUUUUUGAUAAAUUUAUUCUCUGCCUGCUCGUUGGAUCAAUUUUGUGUUUCUAUGAGAAGUUGCCUUCUGAAAGUUAUGCACUAUUAACUGGAGCGUGAAUCAAGCUGAAGUAUAGCUAUGUAGGAGCUGGUUUUUUAUCUGUUCUAAAGACUGAACUCCCAAGUCCCAAUUGUACACAUAAUAUUCUUUGAUAAAUUUAUGCUCUGCCUGCUUCUGCUGGAUCAAAUUUUGAUUGCUAUAAGAAGUUGCCUUCUGAAAAAAGUAAUGUUAUAUUCACUAGGACUUGAAUCAAGCUAAAAUUUGGAUAGUUCUUUUUCUUUGAUCAUUAAUCUGAAUUUCAAUGAUGAUCAAAGAUAUCAAGAUUGAUCUUUGUUUUGUAGAGUUUGUUGUCAAUAAAGAAAUUGUUAUUUGGAAAAGUGUAACUUAUUAUGUCUAUCUAAUGUGUCUCGGGUUAUCAGACAGUUGUUUCAUGCAUCGGAUGGUGUGACUUUUGCUCUGGAUUGGCCGAGGCAUUUUGAUGGUAAAGAAAAUGAUAUCAUACUGGUGAAUGAUCUUGUUGCUAAAGCAGAUAGAAGAUACAAAAUACAUUUUGUUGAUGAAAAUAUUGCUAUAAUAUAGCUGAAAUUUGGUGUAGGCCUGAUGAAAAUUUUGCAAUAUAUCUUUUUAUUUGGUAGUGUCUGGAGCAGCAACUCACAGAAAUUAGGACAUUAGUAAAGAUGAUACAACUCCUAUUGUGGUUAUGAUUCCAGAAUUAAUAAGUGAUCUUGCUUCUUCUAUAAGUAUGAAAUUCUGCCUUCACUCUAUAAAAAUGAUGUCUUUGAAAUUUUUCCCGAUUUUCAGUUAUCUGUUCAAUAACACUGCUACACAGGCUUGGUAUAACUAGUUUAUGCACAGGCUUGAAAAUUUUUUGGCUUUAGAAUUUGGAAAUCUUAUCAAAGCAGCCUGGCAUUGCCAGGGUUUUGGGGGCUAUUAGGUUGUAAUUUGUGCAUCUUUUGUUCGGCCAGAAUUUAUCUUUUUCUCAAUGAAACCAGAUUGUGAAUGGAAAGCACAACUAGGCAAUGUAUGUAUUGCUUGCUUCGACUAGAGUUGAAGUGGAAUUUGCAAGUCAGUAGAGAAGAUCAAAUUUGCACAACCCGAUUGUGAAUGGAAAGCACAAGUUAUGGAGUCACGAAAUGUUUUGCAUACAUUCUUUUGCAUUAGAAUAGAGGGGAUGUUCCCAUAAAAAAAAAAAAAAAAAAAUGGAAUAGAGAGGAUGUUAUAUUUUUGGAUAUGAUACUAGAUUGUGAGUAUAAUAGCAUCAAAUGUGUUAUUUACCUCAAAAGGACUAUAGACUUUUGAAGUAAUUUGUACGUCUAAGGUUUUAAUCAAGACAAGUUUUACAUUUCAC
rnacentral:lncRNA from 1 species